rnacentral:rRNA from 1 species
UAAGCGGAGGAAAAGAAACUAACAAGGAUUCCCCUAGUAGCGGCGAGCGAAGCGGGAAGAGCUCAAAUUUGUAAUCUGGCACCUUCGGUGUCCGAGUUGUAAUCUCGAGAAGUGUUUUCCGCGCUAGACCGCAUACAAGUCUGUUGGAAUACAGCGUCAUAGGUGGUGACAACCCCGUACAUGAUGCGGAUGCCUAGUGCUCUGUGAUACACUUUCGAAGAGUCGAGUUGUUUGGGAAUGCAGCUCAAAUUGGGUGGUAAAUUCCAUCUAAAGCUAAAUAUUGGCGAGAGACCGAUAGCGAACAAGUACCGUGAGGGAAAGAUGAAAAGCACUUUGGAAAGAGAGUUAAAAGUACGUGAAAUUGUUGAAAGGGAAACGCUUGAAGUCAGACUUGCGUACUGGAGUUCAGCCGUAAGGUGUAUUCUUCAGUUUGCAGGCCAGCAUCAGUUUUCGGGGGUACAAAAGGGUGAGAGGAAGGUAGCAGCUCCGGCUGUGUUAUAGACUCUCACUGGAUGUAUCCUUGGGGACUGAGGAACGCAGCGCACUUUUUGCAAGUCCUUUGGGUCUUUCUGCGCUUAGGAUGCUGGUAGAAUGGCUUUAAACGCCCCGUCUUGAAACACG